rnacentral:rRNA from 1 species
GAUGAACGCUGGCGGCGUGCCUAAUACAUGCAAGUCGUGCGGAAAGGCUCCUUCGGGAGUACUCGAGCGGCGGACGGCAGAGUAACGCGUAGGAACGUACCCCAAAGUGAGGAAUAACUGCCCGAAAGGGUAGCUAAUGCCGCAUAUGCUCUAAGGAGUAAAGCUUUCGAGCGCUUUGGGAACGGCCUGCGUCCGAUUAGCUAGUUGGUGAGGUAAUAGCUCACCAAGGCGACGAUCGGUAGCUGGUCUGAGAGGAUGAUCAGCCUGACUGGGACUG